rnacentral:rRNA from 1 species
AUGGCAUCCAUGCCGAAUACGACUAUGCUGGCAACUUUGCUGGAGGGCAUGAAAACCCAUGGCGAACUCAUGUACGCCGAUGGUCUUGAUAUGUCCACUGUUGACUCUACUGGGAUAGGAGGCACACCGCCUCCACAUAAGUUUGAUGUCUCUGCAUGGACGGACGAUGCUGUCAAGGCUGUGCUUGCCGCAGACAGGAUAACUGAUACGAAAUAUGGGAGACUACAGUUGAUGGCCAAGCAUGCUAUAGACUAUAGUGUGUUUGGUGGGCCACAAAACUUUGGCAAGUGGAUGGAUAUACAUUUAGCUCCAUCUUGUCCCGCUGAGGGCACCUGUUGA